rnacentral:lncRNA from 1 species
CAUUUUCCAACACAUCCUGGCAUGUUGCAAGAAUAAUUGCUUUUUGUUUACAGUGUCCCUUUAUGGCACAAUGAAUCUGUUGCCAUGACACUGUUUUUAAGAAUUCCAUAUCUUGAACUAUACCUGGAUCAUGGGACCUACAGAAGGCAUUCUCACUGAAAGACUUGAAGAUGUCCUGAGCUGUUGUGCAGAUUCAUGAGACAGUCCCCCAUCGAAGAGAAGAUACAUGAAAUCCAUCAUACAUCUACUUCUCUGAGAGAGGGAGAGGGAACAGCUCUAGGGCAGCUCCAUUGUAUCAUCACUGUUAAUAAAGAGGCUUGGGUGAAACCUGUGUCCGUCCUGAGAAACCAUCCAAAUGCUGAAAACUCUUGAUGUACGGUAACCAUAUAUAGUAGAGCUAGGAAACACUGCAGACAGAAUGAGACUCAGAAGCUUUCACAUGAAGAUGUGACCUGUAAGUAAUAUUUAUGUCCACCCACUCUGUGCAGCCCUAAUUAAGUCUUGAGAAGUGGAGACAGAUUUCCAUUUUACUGAACCCAUGGGAUGUAAAUUUUGUUUCUUUUCUUUAACAUGCAUGAAUCAAUCAAUAUUGAAUUAAUAACAAGAACCACAACAAAAGUAAGGGUGGCAAACAAGUUACAAAGGGUCUAGCUGUAGCUCAGGAAGCAAAAACAAAAACAAAACAAAGCCAAAAAACCUCCAAAGUGAUGUGGGAGGGAGGAUACAGCAGAUUACUUCUGAUUUUGAAGCCACAAAGACAGACAUAAUUAAUUAAUUAUGUGCCACUGAUUCCAGUUUAUGGUGGUCCUUUCUGGGGCUUUCUCAGUAUAAAGUACUCAGAAGUGGUUUACCAGUUCUAGUGGUGUCUUGCGAUCGGAUACUUGCCCAAGGAUGCACAGACUGGCUUUACUUCUAGGAGUCACAAUGGGGCAUUAAACACCUGACUCAGAUGUUCCAAUCUAUUAAGCCAUCUCCCCAGUGAAAGCAGACAUGCAUACCACCAGCUCAGACACCAGCUUUGUCAGCCUGGUCUGUCUCUUCUGAGAACCUGACCUGAAGGUUAUCUUCUUCAGCAACUGGGCUUCUCAGACCAAAGGAUAGGCUUCUGAAAAUCAA